rnacentral:rRNA from 1 species
AGAGUUUGAUCCUGGCUCAGGACGAACGCUGGCGGCGUGCCUAACACAUGCAAGUGGAGCGACGAACCAGGGCUUGCCCUGGGGCAAAGCCGCGAACGGGUGAGUAACACGUGGGUAACCUGCCCCGAUGACCGGGACAACCCGAGGAAACUCGGGCUAAUACCGGAUGUGCUCCACGCACGUAAGUGUGUGGAGUAAAGGAAGCUUCGGCCUCCGCUUCGGGAGGGGCCCGCGGCCCAUUAGCUAGUUGGUGAGGUAACGGCCCACCAAGGCAACGAUGGGUAGCUGGUCUGAGAGGACGAUCAGCCACACUGGGACUGAGACACGGCCCAGACUCCUACGGGAGGCAGCAGUGGGGAAUCUUGCGCAAUGCGCGAAAGCGUGACGCAGCAACGCCGCGUGGGGGAAGAAGGCCUUCGGGUUGUAAACCCCUUUCAGGAGGGACGAAGGUGCGGCGGCGAACAGCCGUCCGUAUUGACGGUACCUCCAGAAGAAGCCCCGGCUAACUACGUGCCAGCAGCCGCGGUAAUACGUAGGGGGCAAGCGUUGUCCGGAAUCAUUGGGCGUAAAGCGCGCGUAGGCGGCCCGGUAAGUCCGCUGUAAAAGUCCAGGGCUCAACCCUGGAAAGCCGGUGGAUACUGUCGGGCUAGAGUCCGGAAGAGGCGAGUGGAAUUCCUGGUGUAGCGGUGGAAUGCGCAGAUAUCAGGAGGAACACCGAUGGCGAAGGCAGCUCGCUGGGACGGUACUGACGCUGAGGCGCGAAAGCGUGGGGAGCGAACAGGAUUAGAUACCCUGGUAGU